AGAGUUUGAUCAUGGCUCAGGAUGAACGCUAGCGGCAGGCUUAACACAUGCAAGUCGAGGAGAAACAGGUAGCAAUAUCUGGAGUAAACUGGCGAACGGGUGAGUAACACGUAGACAACUUACCUUACAAACGGGAAUAACUCCGCGAAAGCGGUGCUAAUACCCGAUAUUGCUCGAAUGUGGCAUCACAAUCGAGUGAAAGGUCGAAAGACGUUGUAAGAUGGGUCUGCGUCCCAUUAGAUAGUUGGCGGGGUAAUGGCCCACCAAGUCGACGAUGGGUAGCUGGUCUGAGAGGACGAUCAGCCACACUGGAACUGAGACACGGUCCAGACUUCUACGGAAGGCAGCAGUGAGGAAUAUUGGACAAUGGGCGCAAGCCUGAUCCAGCCAUGCCGCGUGCAGGAUGACGGUCCUAUGGAUUGUAAACUGCUUUUUGUACAGGAAGAGACACUCCGACGUGUCGGAGCUUGACGGUACUGUAAGAAUAAGGAUCGGCUAAC
rnacentral:rRNA from 1 species